GUCUAAAACGACUCUCGACAACGGAUAUCUCGGCUCUUGCAUCGAUGAAGAACGUAGCGAAAUGCGAUACUUGGUGUGAAUUGCAGAAUCCCGUGAACCAUCGAGUUUUUGAACGCAAGUUGCGCCCGAAGCCAUUAGGUUGAGGGCACGCCUGCCUGGGUGUCAUUAA
rnacentral:rRNA from 2 species